CCUACGGGGGGCAGCAGUGAGGAAUAUUGGUCAAUGGCCGGAAGGCUGAACCAGCCAAGUCGCGUGAGGGACGACUGCCCUAUGGGUUGUAAACCUCUUUUAUAAGGGAAGAAGAAAUGCUACGUGUAGCAUGAUGCCUGUACCUUAUGAAUAAGCAUCGGCUAACGCCGUGCCAGCAGCCGCGGUAAGACGGAGGAUGCGAGCGUUCUCCGGAUUUAUUGGGUUUAAAGGGUGCGUAGGCGGUUUUGUAAGGUAGUGGUUAAACGUCGGGGCUUCACCUUGAUUUGCCAUUAAUACUGUAAGACUCGAGUUCAGACGAGGUAGGCGGACUCCGUUCCGUAGCGGU
rnacentral:rRNA from 1 species